UACGUAGGGAGCAAGCGUUGUCCGGAAUCAUUGGGCGUAAAGCGCGCGUAGGCGGCCCGAUAAGUCCGCUGUAAAAGUCAACGGCUCAACUGUUGAAAGCCGGUGGAUACUGUCGGGCUAGAGUACGGAAGAGGCAAGUGGAAUUCCUGGUGUAGCAGUGAAAUGCGUAGAGAUGCGGCGGAACACCGAUGGCGAAGGCAGCCCCCUGGGCUGAGAUUGACGCUCAGGCACGAAAGCGUGGGGAGCAAACAGG
rnacentral:rRNA from 1 species